UACAGAGGGUGCAAGCGUUAAUCGGAAUUACUGGGCGUAAAGCGUGCGUAGGUGGUUUGUUAAGUUGGAUGUGAAAGCCCCGGGCUCAACCUGGGAACUGCAUCCAAAACUGGCAAGCUAGAGUACGGUAGAGGGUGGUGGAAUUUCCUGUGUAGCGGUGAAAUGCGCAGAUAUCAGGAAGAACACCCGUGGCUAAGGCGGCUCUCUAGUACGGUACUGACGCUGAGACGCGAAAGCGUGGGGAGCGAACAGG
rnacentral:rRNA from 1 species